rnacentral:rRNA from 1 species
GACGAACGCUGGCGGCGUGCUUAACACAUGCAAGUCGAACGGUGAAGCGCCUUCCUUUUUGGUGGGUGUGGAUGAGUGGCGAACGGGUGAGUAACACGUGAGUAACCUGCCCCCUUCUUCUGGAUAACCGCAUGAAAGUGUGGCUAAUACGGGAUAUUCUGGGUCUGUCGCAUGAUGGGUCUGGGAAAGAUAUUGUUUCGGUGGGGGAUGGGCUCGCGGCCUAUCAGCUUGUUGGUGGGGUGAUGGCCUACCAAGGCGGUGACGGGUAGCCGGCCUGAGAGGGUGGACGGUCACACUGGGACUGAGACACGGCCCAGACUCCUACGGGAGGCAGCAGUGGGGAAUAUUGCACAAUGGGCGAAAGCCUGAUGCAGCGACGCCGCGUGAGGGAUGGAGGCCUGCGGGUUGUGAACCUCUUUCGCCAGUGAAGCAGGCCUGCCUCGUUUGUGGGUGGGUUGACGGUAGCUGGAUAAGAAGCGCCGGCUAACUACGUG